AGUAAAAGUCGUAACAAGGUUUCCGUAGGUGAACCUGCGGAAGGAUCAUUACCGAGACGAGAUCGGGGGGGCGACCCCCGCAGAUGUCGUAUCACACCCUCCCUUGCACGCACCGACGUCCUUCCUCGGCGGGGUGACCCGCCGGCGGAACGUCCCAAACCCUUCUUCGUGCAUCGUAGAAGUACCCGUUCGGAUGAGAAAUUCAAUCGUUACAAUCUUCAACAAUGGAUCUCUUGGCUCUGGCAUCGAUGAAGAACGCAGCGAAAUGCGAUAAGUAGUGUGAAUUGCAGAAUCCAGUGAAUCAUCGAAUCUUUGAACGCACAUUGCGCCCCUCGGUAUUCCGUGGGGCAUGCCUGUUCGAGCGUCAUUUCAAGACUCAAGCUACCCUGCUUGGUGUUGGGCGUCUGUCCCCGCCUCCGGCGUGGGACUCGCCCCAAAGACAUUGGCAGCCCAGGCCGUCCGACCCGCCCGCAGCAUAUUGCGUUGGGGGGUUCGAACGUCGGCCUCGGCGUCCAGCAAAAGAGACUCUCUCACCGUCUUGACCUCGGAUCAGGUAGGGAUACCCGCUGAACUUAAGCAUAUCAAUAAGCGGAGGA
rnacentral:rRNA from 1 species